AACCUUAUGGACCUGCGGGCGUAUACCUGCGGAGGGAUCAUUACAAGUGACCCCGGUCUAACCACCGGGAUGUUCAUAACCCUUUGUUGUCCGACUCUGUUGCCUCCGGGGCGACCCUGCCUUCGGGCGGGGGCUCCGGGUGGACACUUCAAACUCUUGCGUAACCUUGCAGUCUGAGUAAACUUAAUUAAUAAAUUAAAACUUUCAACAAUGGAUCU
rnacentral:misc_RNA from 1 species